CAUCUCAAUAGUUAAUAUCCUGUAUGUGGCCUUAUACUGAUAAUAACGUGUAGUAUGCACCGGGCUUUAUACUUUUUGGUUGUUGUGUUUAUGGUCAUUUUAGUUUUAUAUAGAGAACUGUCAGAUUUUGGCGGAAUGCCGUCGACCGAUAUUAUGUACGAUUUGAUCUUAGUUAAUACGGUGUAUCGAUGUAAUAAAAGAAAUAUUAACUGGAUGCAGUGGUUUGUAUGAUAAACCCCAUUUACUGAGCUUUAAAUCAAUGGACUUCUACAUCUCAGAAAGCGGGAUUAUGAAUUCAAAUGCCCACAUAGAUAUUGGAUGCACUUAAUUUAUUUUCACUUGUAUAGAGGUGCAUAAAAAUGUAAGUUGCUUGGUCUUUUAAAUGUUUGUUUCAUAGUCGAAACAGUUGAGUUGAUAGUAUUUUAAUGAUACAAGAUUUCAUUAGCUUGUUUGUUUUGCUCGCUAAAGAGAACGAUUGACAGUUCGUUUCGUUUGCAUAAAUCAAAAGUUUUGUUUUAAAUUUUCAAUGUACUGUACAUAGUUACAUACAUUUGCUAUGGUAUUGACCUAUUUAUUAACCCGUGUUCUUGUCAUUGUUUGUUUUCGGUUUUGUGAGAUGAGACGGAAUACAAUGAGAGUAGAUCUCGAAAAUGCAAGCGCAAUCAAUCAACCAUCAACUUUCUGGUGAGACAAGAGCCAUACUUAAGAGCCUGUGACAUGGUUAUGAAGGAAGGCAAUGCGGUAAGGAUGGCAUUGUGCAGUGCAAGUGCUCAGUGAAUCUAGUUAUUAACACUGAGUUAUAUAAUGACAUUCUUUGAUGAUAAUCGAGGGUCUCGCAGCAAGAGCUGACUAAAGCAAAGAAGGUUAAGCUAUUACAUGGUGCUGUCAGCAGUGGGGCAGGGUCCAAGCUGCCGAUGGCCAGGGCCGCUGAGUGAGAAACCGGCGUACUAUACACGCCGUGUCCAGGAUAUAGCAAUCUGCAUCUGACCAGCGAGAGUCUCUGAGUGUUGGGUUGGUUGGGUUGGUCAGUUUGGCAGACUGUCUAGUACAGGCCGUAAUGGCAGACUGUCUAGAGCAGGCCAUGACUGUUUAUUAUGUUAGUUUAUACUUUGGCUGACUAUCUAGAGCAGGCCCUGAUGGCAGACUGUCCACAGGCCAUAAGUAGGUAUAUAUGCUGUUAAGGUACUUGUAAUAUGAGAUACUUGUAAUUUGUUUGGAUUGAUAUUUGCGGUUAGUUGUAUUUUAUAAUUGUUGAUGUGUUUUUUUUUAAAUUGUAUGCAAAUUCCAUGUUGACGUGUAAAAGUGCCCUUGUGGCCUAUUUGCUGAAUAAAUGUUGAAAUUGAAGAAGUUGGCCUUGUUGCCUGAUUCAUUAUAUUCGUUUAUACUUUGACAAACUGCCCAGAGUAGGCCUUGAAGGCAGACUGUCUAGAACAGGCUAUGAUAGCAGCCUGUCUUCUAGAGCAGGCCGUGAUGACAGACUGUCUAGACUAAUCUAGUCUGAAGCAGGCCAUAACAAAUUAAAUCAGUACAAUGAUUAGGUGUGAGGUUUGGCAGACUGUCUAGAACAGGCUAUGAUAGCAGCCUGUCUUCUAGAGCAGGCCGUGAUGGCAGACUGUCUAGACGAAUCUAGUCUAGAGCAGGCCAUAACAAAUUAAAUCAUUACAAUGAUUAGGUGUGAGGUUUGGCAGACUGUCUAGAACAGGCUAUGAUAGCAGCCUGUCUUCUAGAGCAGGCCGUUGUGGCAGACUGUCUAGACUAAUCUAGUCUAGAGCAGGCCCUAACAAAUUAAAUCAUUAAAAUGAUUAGGUGUGAGUUUUGGCAGACUGUCUAGAACAGGCUUUGAUAGCAGCUUGUCUUUUAGAGCAGGCCGUGAUGGCAGACUGUCUAGACCAGUCAAGUCUAGAGCAGGCUAUAACAAUUUAUACUUUGGAAUGAUGUCUAGAGCAGGCCUUGAAGGCAGACUGUGAUUUUUGAUGUUGAUUUAUACUUUGCCAAACUGUUUAGAGCAGGCCUUGAGGGCAGACUGUGAUUGUUUGUGGUUAUGUAUUAUAUUUUGCCAAACUGUUUAGAGCAGGCCUUAAGGGCAGACUGUGAUUGCUUCUGAUCAUGUUAUAUACUUUUUCAAACUGUUUAGAGCAGGCCUUGAGGCAGACUGUGAUUGUUUAUGAUCAUGUAUUUAUACUUUGCCAGACUGUUUAGAGCAGGCCUUGAGUGCAGACUGUGAUUGUUUAUGAUCAUGUAUUAUACUUUGUCCAACUGUUUAGAGCAGGCCUUGAGUGCAGACUGUGAUUGUUUAUGAUCAUGUAUUAUAUUUUGCCCAACUGUUUAGAGCAGGCCUUGAGUGCAGACUGUGAUUGUUUAUGAUCAUAUAUUAUACUUUGCCAAACUGUUUAGAGCAGGCCUUGUGUGCAGACUGUGAUUGUUUAUGAUCAUGUAGUAUACUUUGCCAAACUAUUUAGAGCAGGCCUUGAGUGCCGAUUGUGAUUGUUUACGAUCAUGUAUUAUACUUUGCCAAAUUGUUUAGAUCAGGCCUUGAGGGCAGACUGUGAUCGUUGAGGUUGGUUUAUACUUUGGCAGACUGCCUAGAGCAGACCAUGAUUGUAAGUUAGUUCAUAUAUUGAAAGACUAUCUAAAGAAGGCUGUUAAUGCUACCAGGUGUUGGUUGUAUUCAAUGACUGUUUACAUGAUCUCAGAUUCAAGCAUGUUAAGCGUUAAGAUUUAUUUCCCAAUAAGGCUAAAGGUUAUUAUUGGCUAUGAUUGAUUCAUGUGAGCCCAUACUGUGUAGAAGUUUACAAAUACUGUUGUUGUGAAUGUUUAUCUUUGAUAUCGAUAAAGGUGUAAGGAUAUAUUGCUGUUGUUAUUAAUGUUUAUAAUUACUUUUAGUGAGAGGGCUCACUUUAAAAAAAAAAGGAUGGCCGAAGCUGUAAGCAUCUCAAUAGUUAAUAUCCUGUAUGUGGCCUUAUACUGAUAAUAACGUGUAGUAUGCACCGGGCUUUAUACUUUUUGGUUGUUGUGUUUAUGGUCAUUUUAGUUUUAUAUAGAGAACUGUCAGAUUUUGGCGGAAUGCCGUCGACCGAUAUUAUGUACGAUUUGAUCUUAGUUAAUACGGUGUAUCGAUGUAAUAAAAGAAAUAUUAACUGGA